rnacentral:rRNA from 1 species
AACGAACGCUGGCGGCAGGCUUAACACAUGCAAGUCGAGCGCCCCGCAAGGGGAGUGGCGCACGGGUGAGUAACGCGUGGGAAUAUGCCCUUCGGUUCGGAAUAACACAGGGAAACUUGUGCUAAUACCGGAUACGAUCUACGGAUGAAAGAUUUAUGGUCGGGGGAGUAGCCCGCGUAGGAUUAGCUAGUUGGUGAGGUAAUGGCUCACCAAGGCGACGAUCCUUAGCUGGUCUGAGAGGAUGAUCAGCCACACUGGGACUGAGACACGGCCCAGACUCCUACGGGAGGCAGCAGUGGGGAAUAUUGGACAAUGGGGGAAACCCUGAUCCAGCCAUGCCGCGUGAGUGAUGAAGGCCUUAGGGUUGUAAAGCUCUUUCGCCAGGGAAGAUAAUGACGGUACCUGGAAAAGAAGCCUCGGCUAACUCCGUGCCAGCCGCCGCGGUAAUAC